GACGAACGCUGGCGGCGUGCUUAACACAUGCAAGUCGAACGGUGAUGCUCCAGCUUGCUGGAGUGGAUCAGUGGCGAACGGGUGAGUAACACGUGAGCAACCUGCCCCAGACUCUGGAAUAAGCGCUGGAAACGGCGUCUAAUACUGGAUACGAAACUGGCCCGCAUUGGCAUGGUUUGGAAAGUUUUUCGGUUUGGGAUGGUCUCGCGGCCUAUCAGCUUGUUGGUGAGGUAAUGGCUCACCAAGGCGACGACGGGUAGCCGGCCUGAGAGGGCGACCGGCCACACUGGGACUGAGACACGGACCAGUCGCCUACGGGAGGCAGAAGUGGGGAAUAUUGCACAAUGGGCGCAAGCCUGAUGCAGCGACGCCGCGUGAGGGAUGCCGGCCUUCGGGUUGUAAACCGCUUUCAGCAGGGAAGAAGCGAAAGUGACGGUACCUGAAGAAGAAGCACCGGCUAACUACGUG
rnacentral:rRNA from 1 species